rnacentral:rRNA from 1 species
CCUACGGGGGGCAGCAGUGAGGAAUAUUGGUCAAUGGGCGGGAGCCUGAACCAGCCAAGCCGCGUGAGGGAAGAAGGUACAGCGUAUCGUAAACCUCUUUUGUCAGGGAACAAAGGCGGGGACGUGUCCCCGGAUGAGUGUACCUGAAGAAAAAGCAUCGGCUAACUCCGUGCCAGCAGCCGCGGUAAUACGGAGGAUGCGAGCGUUAUCCGGAUUUAUUGGGUUUAAGGGGUGCGCAGGCGGUCUGUUAAGUCAGCGGUCAAAGCCCGGGGCUCAACCCCGGCCCGCCGUUGAAACUGGCAGUCUCGAGUUGGAGAGAAGUAUGCGGAAUGCGCGGUGUAGCGGUGAAAUGCAUAGAUAUCGCGCAGAACUCCGAUUGCGAAUGCAGCAUGCCGGCUCCACACUGACGCUGAGGCACGAAAGCGUGGGUAUCGAACAGGAUUAGAUACCCCUGUAGUC